rnacentral:lncRNA from 1 species
AGACAUGAAUCACAAUAAGGGUGAAGAAUCAGGAAUGUCACAACUAACAAAAGAUGAUGAGGUUACACUCAAAGACAAAACCUUAAACAUAAAGGAUGAUGAGCAGCAACAAAAGUCCACUAAAGAUUAGGUCAUCUAGACCUUUGAUCAAAGAGAUCAUUCUACAGAAGAUCAGCAGGAGAACAAGCACAUACAUUAUCACAUUGGGGAUGGAAAUACAGACAUGAAUGCACCUACUAUUGGAAUGGAGAUAGUUCUCAGGAAUGAGAAUCUUCCCCUGGUAACAACUGAGCAUAAUGAAGAAAGGUUCAAGAAGGAUGACAGGGAUCUGAAGUUAGCACAACAUGGUGGACCUGCAACAACCAAUACAAAAACAUCAACAUAUAAUUUUGAUAAAAUAGCUACCUUCCAGGAACCACUUCAAAUAGUUGGGAGUGAGGUAGUGUUUGCACUUGAAUAUAAUGCAUCCAAAGAGGUAACAACAAUAUAGGGAAUGAGAGAAAUUAUGAAUACCUGCAAAAAGUCCAGCCCUAUUAGAACAUUACUUAAUCUUGUUUCUCAUCAACUUAUUGAAGAAGAUUAUCAGGUCAGCACAUACAACCACGAGGGUGAAGAUGUAGAAGAUACAGAAGAAGAAAAUAACACCUUUAAAGAAGAUCAAAUAAUGAAGAAUGCUGGUCUAACUGUUCAAUCAAUUUCCAAAGGAGUCAAAGGAAAAGUUAUUGUGGAUAAUAGACCUGUCAGAGUAAACCCUAAAAGGGCUGUGAAAAUAAGUUCUAAAUGAAGAUGAAGACUUUGUUUUGGAAUGUGAGAGCUGUCAAAACUCAAAAUUAAUUCCAGAGGAUCCAAAUGCUCAACAGACAUCACAAAUUCUCUUUCAUUGCAUUGAUGGGACCAUUUCAAGAAGGGAAUCAAAUUCACAGGUAUAAAAGAAAGCUAGGCAUGUCCUAUGCAACUCAUAAUCAGAAUGACAAGAUUUGGAUAUUUGUUCAGGAACAUAUUCAUGUUAGGGUGAUAUCAGACUCAGAUCAACAAUUGACAUUUCAACUUCACUUCCAAGAGACUGGUGAUAUCAUUUUGGCUACAGUAGUGUAUGCAAAAUGUGAUGCCUUGGAAAGAAUCAAUCUGUGGGAUGAUAUAUAUAAUAUUAGUGUUAAUUACAAUAUGCCCUGGAUAGUGGGGGGAGAUUUUAAUGUCAUUAUGAAUGAUGAGGAGAAAAUAGGGGGUCUCCCAGUGUACCCUCAUGAGUAUGAAGAUUUUGCCUUCUGCAUGAAUUCUUGUGAAUUACUACACAUUAAUUUUAAGGGCAGCCCUUUUAGUUGGUGGAAUGGUAGAAUUGAUGAGGAGUGUAUCUUUAAGAGAUUGAAUAGAAUUAUGGUGAAUCAAUCUUUUAUUGGCUUAUUAGGCAACCUUGAAAUGGAACAGUUGCCAAGGACUGGCUCUAACCAUGCCCCCAUGCUUCUAACUAGUGGUGGGCAAAGCUCAGAUGUGAGGAAGCCUUUCAAAUUUUUGAAGUUUUGGGUGGAGAAAAAGGAUUUCUGGAAAUAGUUGCUAAUAGCUGGAAAUCACAAGACUCUUUUGAUGUCUUCAUUAGCUUGAAACAAAAGAUGAAGAACACUAAAAUAGCUCUAUCCAGAUGGAGCAAAGAGAGUUUUGGUGAUAUUUUCAAGCAACUUAUUAUUAGGGAAGAGAUUGUGAUGCUGAAAGAAGAUCUAUUUGAAAAAAAUCCUACAUGUUCUAACAGUAUGAUUUUACAACAAUCUCAGGCUGAGCUACAAAAAUAUAUACACUUUGAAGAAGAAUAUUGGAGACAAAAGCAGGUUUUCAGUGGCAUAUUGAAGGGGAUAAAAAUACUAGAUUUUUUCACUGCCUAGUGAAUGGGAGAAGAAAGAGACUAUCUGUGAGUCGAAUGCUUAAGGAAGAUGGGCAGUGGGCUGAAGGCAAUGAUCAGGUGGCUGAGCAAGCAAUCAAUUUUUUUAAGAAUCAAUUUGCUGUGGAAGAUGGUGCUACUGAUUUGACUUUGCUAAAGUGUCACACCCACCCUAGGUUUGGCGGACAAGUACCAUAUGAACACAUGCUUUACAAGUGACAUAUGAUGAGAAAGUGAACUACUAUGCAUAUAGAUUUGCUACUGAGAAUCUAUAUAUACAACAUAUGUCGACUAGCUGAACCAAACAUGUGACAGGUAAAACUAUGAAUACAGAUGAUACUUUUAAAAUAUCUACAAAACCUCUACUAGAAUCCAUGACUGUACAACUAUCAAAAUACGCAUAGUAAAGACUCGGCAAAUCCCCGAAUCAACCUGGAGCUCACCAACAACCGCUGAGGAUCAUGUGCUUCUAUUGGGGAGAUCUACUAGUUGAGCCCCUGUACAUGUAGCAUGAAAUGUAGCGUCCCUAAUAAGGGACGUCAGUACGAAAGAAUAUAUUGAAUAUGUAAGACAUAAUACAAACAUAUGUAAAAUGAGAGCUCAAGUGAAACCAAAUACAAAUGGGUAAGGAUUAGAGACCAUCUUUGCUUAUACUUUUGGACUCGUGUAUGUUACAUUCUUUUCUUUACUUUUCUACGUGUUCUAAUCUUUAUAAGGCAUAUGAUACAAAUGACCAGCUGAUUAGUGGUAGAAGAGGAUGACCCAUGCUAGGUAUUUAACCCCUGGGAUGCUGUCCUCAUAAUUCAACCAAUUGGGAUCGGCCCAUGCUAGGCUUUCACCCUUGAGCUGCCACCCUUCUAUACCAAUUGGGAUUUACCCAUGCUAGGCUUUCCCCCCUGAGCUGCCACCCUUCCAUAUCAAUUGAGAUCGACCCAUGCUAGGCAUUUGCCCUUGGGCUGCCACCCAUUAUUAUACAAAUUGCUUCACUUAGAUUGAUUGUUAUUUUGAUGUUCAUAACUCUUUUGAGAUUGCUGUUUUGGUGGUCAUAUAAAACAUGUCCCUCAUGUAAUUUUGGAGGAGGAUAAUAUGCUACUAAAAGUCUGUCCUACGAAGCAGGAGGUGAAGAAGGUAGUUUUCAAGCUAAAUGGUAAUAGUGCUAGUGGUCCUGAUGGAUUUACUGGCUUUUUCUUUCAAUCGUGUUGGGAUAUUGUUGGAAAUGAUAUUUUUAAUGCGGUGACUGCCUUUUUUAAUGGCUUUACUCUACCAAAGUCCAUUACUCAUAUAAAUCUGGUGUUGGUUCCAAAGAAAGAUAUUGUUCACUCAUUUAGUGAUAUGAGGCCAAUUAGUUUGAGUAGUUUCAUUAAUAAGGUGAUCUCCAUGAUUGUACAUGAUAGAUUGGAAAGAGUGCUACCUAUCAUUAUUUCUAAAAAUCAGUCUGGAUUUCUGAAGGGAAGAAAUAUAACAGAAAAUGUCUUGUUAGCUCAGGGGAUUGUUUAUGAUGUUAGAAUUAGAGGUAAGCCUAAAAAUGUGGUGAUCAAGUUAUACAUGACAAAGGCUUAUGACAGAGUUAAUUGACAAUUCUUAAUUAAAGUCUUGGAGAAAAUGGGAUUUGAUAAGAAUGUGGUUGACAUGGUUUGGAGGUUGAUUGCUAAUAAUUGGUACUCUGUUCUGAUUAAUGGUCAAACACAUGGUUUUUUCAAUUCUACGAGGGGUGUCAAACAGGGUGAUCCACUAUCACCUACCCUUUUUACCUUAUCAGCUUAGGUUUUUACUAGGGCCCUGAAUGACUUGUUUAACAAGGAUUAUAAGGGUUAUGGGAUGCCUAAGUGGAAUGAUAACAUUAAUCAUCUAGCUUAUGCUAAUGAUACUAUCAUUUUUAUGUCAGCUGACAAGGGUUUUCUAAGGUUGGUCAUGAAUACAUUGGAAGACUAUGAAGCUCAAUCUGGUCAAUUAAUCAACAAAGGAAAAAGUGCAUUUUACAUGUUUAAUAAGGCAACUAUUAUUCAUGUAGAUGCUGUAGAGGAGAUUACAGGGUUUAGUAGAUGAUCAUUCCCUUUUAAUUAUUUGGGUUGUCCUAUUGGAUAUGCAAAGAAACAGAAGAUUCAUUUCAAAGAAUUGAUUAAGAAGGUGCAAAACAAACUGCAGGUUUGGAAAGGAAAAUUAUUAUUAUUUGGAGGUAAAAUGGUUUUGAUUCAAUCUGUACUCAAUAGUAUCCCUAUUUAUCUUAUUUCUGUCAUGAGUCCUGCCAUGCAUGUUAUCCAUGAUUUAUAUAGAAUCUUUGCUAGAUUUCUAUGGAAUUAUAAAUAAAAUGGGAGAAAUAAACAUUGGGUUACUUGGCCUAAUAUUUUUUUUACCCAAGGAGGAAGGAGGGUUAGGUAUUAGAUCUUUAUUUGAUGUCUCUAAAGCUUUAUUUGCUAAAUUAUGGUGGAAUUUUAGGACCUAAAAAUCAAUAUGGUCUAAUUUUCUAUGGAACAAAUAUUGCAAAAAUUGGGUCCUCAAAUUGUAGAAUGGAAAGGAGAAUCACAAGUCUGGAAGCUAAUGCUAGAAGCUAGAGAUAAGAUAGACCAGUAGAUAUGGUGGGAGCCUAAGAUUGGUCAUUCCAAUCUAUGGUUGGAUAACUAGACUCAAAUUGGUGCCUUGCAUUAUUAUCUGCCUAUGAAUUAUGAGGGUGAUUAUUAUUUAGAAGAGGUGAAACAAGUAUACAAUCAAGGAGAUUGGAAUUGGGAGUUAAUGAUUAAUAUAUUUACUAAAGAGGUGUGCUCUCAUAUUGCUAAGCAUGUAGUAUUAAUCCCAAAUUCUGAAGAGUGGGACAAACCUUGGUGGAUGUUAAAUAGAUCAGGCAAGUUUUCUAUUAAAUCUUCCUGGAACUUUCUGAGACAAAAAAACGAAUCUAAUGAACUGUUCAAAAACAUUUGGAUAAGAGGGAUGCCUUAUAAGGUCUCUUUCUUUAUGUGGAGGUUAUGGAAGAAAAUGAUUCCUAUUGGAGAAGUUCUGGUUAAGAAUACAAUAUGGGAUAAUGUUCUUUGUGUUUGUUGUGGACUAGGAUAUCCAGAAACCAUAGAACAUUUGUUCAUCUACUGUGAAGCAUCUUGCAGAAUAUGGUCUGAGUUUGCAGCUGGUGUAGGGAUUGAAGGUCCUUUCCAUCAUCUAAAAGACAUUGUAUGGAAAUGGUGGAAGGUAGAGGUUUUACCUAAGCUUAAGCCCAUUUAUAAGGCAGUUCCUCUGUUCAUUUUAUGGAAAAUUUGGAAAAGAAGGAACAAGAUCAAGCAUGGUGGAAAGAUGUCCCAGAUUUCUAUGAGCAUGGAGGUGGGAGGAUCAUUACACCUUAUGGCAAAAAACUUGUAUCCUUGGUUGAGGAAUAUUCCAGGUUCCUGGCAUAUGUUGGUAAAGUUUCUGGAAAAGUAUAUUCCAAUUCUAAAAUGUAGAGUGGUAAAAUGGGCUAAGAAUAUGGCUGGUUAUAAGUGCAAUUCAAAUGGUGCCUCUAAAGGUAACCUAGGGCCUAGUUCAGGUGCUUUUUGCAUUAGGGAUAUGGACGGUAAUUUUGUGUAUGCUGAAGCUAAAAGAUUAGAGGAUGAUAACAACCUCAAGGCAGAGAUCAUGGUCAUCACUAUGGGACUGGAGUUUUGUAGGGCCAAAGACUAUUUCCCUGUUAUGUUGGAAACUAGUUCCCUAGUAGUAAAGAAUAUGAUUUGUUGGGAAUGGGAAGUCCCAUGGAGUGUGACAGGGGAAAUUAGGAAAAUUAAACAUUUGAUAAAGGAGAGAGGUGGUGGUUGCUCAUGUGUUCUGAGAAGGCAACAAGGUUGCAGAUUUUUUAGCUAACAAUACUUUCUCUUUUGCAAGCACACAAAGCAGAAUUUUCUCAUCUUUUCAAGAACUACAAAAGGAAGCAAAGGUGUUGAUUAAUAUGGAUAAAGCAGGAAUUGAAAAUCUGCGAAUAAAAAAAAUGCAAAAUACAAAGUAUGCCGACAGUGAAAGUAGUCACAACAUAUAGUAAAAGCAAGGGACAACAACAAUAGACAUUCAAAAUCACAUUCUUGUCUCUAAUACAUCAGUACAAAGCGGCAUAACAAUUACUCCGAGUAAUAAAGAAAUGAGUUUUAGCAACAUUAACAAAGAAAUACCUGGACUGUGCAGUGGUAUUAGCUAGAUUUUCGGCUCAAUCUGUAGGAAAGGGUAAAUCUUUGUGAUGGAGCCAAAGAUCAGAGGAAAAACUUGAUGCAAUGAGACAUGGAGUGAAUCGAAUCUUACUUGGUUUGUUCAAGCUGAGGCGAAGUGUUCAACGGGCUAUGUUUCCAUGGCAUUCGUGAGAAAUUAGAGUGCCUCUUGUGGAAUCAUCCCAACCACAGCUUGUUGCAGUCUUUGAUGAAUCAAGGACAGUCACCGGCAGAUCCGACUUCGACAACCACCAUGGCAGAUGAGAAAUAGAGCUUGAAGUUGGAGUUGGG